rnacentral:rRNA from 1 species
UGAGGAACAUGACCUUCGGCGGGGGAUAGCCGGCCCAACGGCCGGGUAAUACCGCGUACGACCACAUGGGGACAUCCUUGAGUGGUGAAAGCAGCAAUGCGCCGAUGGAGUGCCUCGCGGCCUAUCAGCUAGUUGGUGAGGUAACGGCUCACCAAGGCAACGAUGCGUAGCCGACCUGAGAGGGUGAUCGGCCACAUUGGAACUGAGACACGGUCCAGACCUCUACGGGGAGG